GUCCCCAUCGUCUAGCCAGGCCCAGGACACCGGCCUUUCACGCCGGCGACACGAGUUCGAAUCUCGUUGGGGACGCCA
rnacentral:tRNA from 1 species